GGGGGCUUCGGAUUGAUUUGGGACUCCCGUUCAGGCUGGACUGAUGGGCAACUUCCACGUGUCUGCUGUGAGGUGCAGUGGCCUUCCCACCGCGGAGAGUGACAGAGGCCUCGGCUGAGUUAGAUACGCAGGAAGCACGAGUAAAGCAAUAAUGUUCUGCUACAGUUCCAUUAAUCCAUUCAUACUCUGGGAAGUACCCCUUAUGUUGGCACACUUAGUUCAUCAUCAAAAACUGUAGCCAUUGCCUCUGAGAACGACGACUGUCCAGGCACAUCGUGGGAAAAGUACUGGGAAAGUUCCGUUUCUGAACUCACAGAGCCUUGCUGAAAGAGAACGGAACAACAUGGAAUUUUGCAUCAGAGAAACAGGCCAAUUUUCAGUCCCACAGGCCUGCGUUCAUAAUGCACCCUACAAUCUUCUCAUCAUGUUCAGCUCAUCCAAACAGCACUACAAUAACUGGAGUCUGACAUUAACCUCCAAGGUGCAAUACAGGAUCUACAAGUCCAGCUCAUAACUUAGGCAGAGUAUCUUAUAUUGUCAUAACUUAU